AACGAACGCUGGCGGCAGGCUUAACACAUGCAAGUCGAGCGCCCCGCAAGGGGAGCGGCAGACGGGUGAGUAACGCGUGGGAACGUACCCUUUGCUACGGAAUAGCUCCGGGAAACUGGAAUUAAUACCGUAUGUGCCCUACGGGGGAAAGAUUUAUCGGCAAAGGAUCGGCCCGCGUUGGAUUAGCUAGUUGGUGGGGUAAUGGCCUACCAAGGCGACGAUCCAUAGCUGGUCUGAGAGGAUGAUCAGCCACAUUGGGACUGAGACACGGCCCAAACGCCUACGGGAGGCAGCAGUGGGGAAUAUUGGACAAUAGGCGCAAGCCUGAUCCAGCCAUGCCGCGUGAGUGAUGAAGGCCUUAGGGUUGUAAAGCUCUUUCACCGGAGAAGAUAAUGACGGUAUCCGGAGAAGAAGCCCCGGCUAACUUCGUGCCAGCCGCCGCCGUAAAAC
rnacentral:rRNA from 1 species